rnacentral:ncRNA from 1 species
AGUCUAUUAAACAACACCACCUGUAUAUGCUAGUAAUAUGGUCUAGCGUUUCUACGUCUUGUAAAUGUAACAAAGACUCUAUAGGUUAAUGCUCUUUCUUU